rnacentral:rRNA from 1 species
CGAAUGGCGUAAUGAUGGCCAGGCUGUCUCCACCCGAGACUCAGUGAAAUUGAACUCGCUGUGAAGAUGCAGUGUACCCGCGGCAAGACGGAAAGACCCCGUGAACCUUUACUAUAGCUUGACACUGAACAUUGAGCCUUGAUGUGUAGGAUAGGUGGGAGGCUUUGAAGUGUGGACGCCAGUCUGCAUGGAGCCGACCUUGAAAUACCACCCUUUAAUGUUUGAUGUUCUAACGUGGACCCGUGAUCCGGGUUGCGGACAGUGUCUGGUGGGUAGUUUGACUGGGGCGGUCUCCUCCUAAAGAGUAACGGAGGAGCACGAAGGUUGGCUAAUCCUGGUCGGACAUCAGGAGGUUAGUGCAAUGGCAUAAGCCAGCUUGACUGCGAGCGUGACGGCGCGAGCAGGUGCGAAAGCAGGUCAUAGUGAUCCGGUGGUUCUGAAUGGAAGGGCCAUCGCUCAACGGAUAAAAGGUACUCCGGGGAUAACAGGCUGAUACCGCCCAAGAGUUCAUAUCGACGGCGGUGUUUGGCACCUCGAUGUCGGCUCAUCACAUCCUGGGGCUGAAGUAGGUCCCAAGGGUAUGGCUGUUCGCCAUUUAAAGUGGUACGCGAGCUGGGUUUAGAACGUCGUGAGACAGUUCGGUCCCUAUCUGCCGUGGGCGCUGGAGAACUGAGGGGGGCUGCUCCUAGUACGAGAGGACCGGAGUGGACGCAUCACUGGUGUUCGGGUUGUCAUGCCAAUGGCACUGCCCGGUAGCUAAAUGCGGAAGAGAUAAGUGCUGAAAGCAUCUAAGCACGAAACUUGCCCCGA